GAAGAACUGAGACGCCAGUGCCCACAUCUACAAAGCCUCGCUCAGAAUCAGACCUCCAUUCAUUUUAUGCCUCUCAGUAUUUAUCCAGCACAUCAUCUGUUCAUGUUUAACCUCUUAAACUGUGUCAGAUGCUGCUGAUUCACCAAUCUGAUCCAGAUCUUCAGAUAUUCUCUGCUCCUGCAGCUCCAGGGCAAGUGACUCAUGCUGUCUACAAGUGCAGCAUCCCGCUGAGCCUGGCAG